CAACUACUCCCUCUAUCCCAAAUUUCUUGUCUUAGAUUUGUCUAGAUACGGAUGUAUUUAAUACUAAAAUGUGACUUGAUACAUCUGUAUCUAGACAAAUCUAAGACAAGAAUUUUGGGACGGAGGGAGUACUUU
rnacentral:pre_miRNA from 1 species